UUUCGCAAUGCCCGAAAGGGUGACGAAGCGACGCCGCGUGAGUGAGGAAGGCCUUCGGGUUGUAAAGCUCUGUCAGGAGUUAAGAAAUAUAAGUGUGUUAAUACCACAUUUAUUUGACGAAGGCUCCAAAGGAAGCCACGGCUAACUCUGUGCCAGCAGCCGCGGUAAUACAGAGGUGACAAGCGUUGUUCGGAAUUAUUGGGCGUAAAGAGCACGUAGGUGGGUUUGUAAGUCAGAUGUGAAAGCCUUCUGUUCAACGGAAGAAUUGCAUCUGAAACUGCGAGUCUUGAGUGUAGGAGGGGAGAAUGGAACUUCUGGUGGAGCGGUGAAAUGCGUAGAUAUCAGAAGGAACGCCGGCGGCGAAAGCGAUUCUCUGGCCUAUUACUGACACUCAGUGUGCGAAAGCUAGGGGAGCAAACGGGAUUAGAUACCCCGGUAGUCCUAGCUGUAAACGAUGGGCACUAAGUAGAGGGGUUUUA
rnacentral:rRNA from 1 species